rnacentral:rRNA from 1 species
CCUACGGGUGGCCGCAGUGGGGAAUUUUGGACAAUGGGGGCAACCCUGAUCCAGCCCUGCCGCGUGAGUGAAGAAGGCCUUCGGGUUGUAAAGCUCUUUCGGCCGGGAAGAAAUCGCUCAAGCUAAUACCUUGGGUGGAUGACGGUACCGGAAGAAGAAGCACCGGCUAACUACGUGCCAGCAGCCGCGGUAAUACGUAGGGUGCGAGCGUUAAGCGGAAUUACUGGGCGUAACGCCAGCGCAGGGAUGUGAAAUCCCCGGGCUUAACCUGGGAACUGCGUUUGUGACUGUGGUGCUCGAGUGCGGCAGAGGGGGGUGGAAUUCCACGUGUAGAAGUGAAAUGCGUAGAGAUGUGGAGGAACACCGAUGGCGAAGGCAGCCCCCUGGGUCGACACUGACGCUCAUGCACGAAAGCGUGGGGAGCAAACAGGAUUAGAUACCCGGGUAGUC